rnacentral:lncRNA from 1 species
GCCCAUAUAGCAAGGAUUUUUUUCCUUUUUUAUUUUCAAUUACAAUCAGCCCAGUUAGCCCAAAUAUUUUUUGGCCUAGCUACAAAUUGGCUUUUUUCAUUACAACAAAACAUUUGUGGCUGAUCCAAUAAAACAAUCACGGAUUAUAAACCACAUUAAUAAUUGCAUAAUUAUAAUAACCAGCCAUGCAACAGAUAUAUUCUAGCCAUAGAUAAUAUUCCAGCCAACAAAAGCAUAUGUUCUAGAAUACAUGUUACAUAAACCAAAAACAUUGUAACCAUCAAACUACACAAAAGUACCAACCACGGAGCCACCAAACUACUCAAAAGUACCCACCCAGCAGCCUGCAACCAUGUUCCAGCAAACAAAACUUCACUGCUACAUGCAUCCAAGCAGCACUGCUCAACCUCCAACCUGCAGAAGCAAUGAUAACCGCAUUGAAACAUGCUCUGAAUAUUCAUGACAGAUUCAAUAUUGAAGCAAAAAGUUGAGUCAAACUAAGAUUAGCAUUUCGGCAAGUCUUCACAAAGUAAGUGAGCCGACAAAAAAUAAUUCCUAAAAUAAUUUGUGCAUGUCCACUAUUUUGAAAAUUAACACUUAUGUAAAUCAUUCAAAUUGUUUAUUAAAUCUGACAUAUAUUGAGUUGUAGUCACUAAGAAAGUCAGAAUGACAACUCAUGGUAUAGAAUAUAUUUGGACUAGCAUAAAGGCAGAGCAUACAAUAGCUGGGACGGCUCUCUCCUCAGUUCUCUCUCUUCUCCAUUGUUGCCUUCAAGCUCUCAAGCAUUCCAGUGCGAGGAGAGGCUAUUGUGCGUGGUCGUGGAAAGUGAAGGGAAAGAAAACCGAGAAAGUGAGGGGCUUAGGGUUUCAUCCGUCUUUUAUAUGAGCUUCUCUCUGUCGAGAUGAAUGAUGGCCGUUGGAUCAAAAUCAACUGAAGAAAUGUGUAACAUUACCUCCUCUUUGCCAUUUAAUCAAACAC